CACAUAGCACAUAGUUUAUUUUCUGUACUUCAGCACUUAUUUCACCACAGAGUCCACAUCCCUAUGGUACAAGCCCACAAUAGCUGUGAGUUUUUUUUUUAUGUUGGGCUGCAGCUGCUGGUCUCCACAAUAGAAAUCAAUGAAAAGGGAGAAGACAUACAAAGGCCAUUGCAACUUACAGAGAGAGAAAGAGUGAAUGGGUCAAGACAUCUGACAUUAACUGUUGUUUUCUCUAAUAAAACUCACAGGCAAGAAGAUUGAAUGGAGACAUUUUCAAGAAAAAGCCUUGGGCAAAGAGAAGUCUAAGAGACUCUGGCAGCUGUUUCAUCAGCAGUCUGUCAGCCUUUCCAGUCGGCAAGAGGCCCUGCGUCAGUACAAGGGGGAAAACUCGAAACUUUCACUAAUCCUGCAACCUAAACUCAUUUUGGUAUGCAGUUUGAAUUUGCAGCUGCAUCAUUUAAAAACCAGUUUGAAAUGUUAUAUGAGCAAAAAACAAAACCUGACUUAUAUCCAUCAUUAUAUCACAGAGCUGAAAAUGCUACUAAAUCCCCUCACAUCCUGCCCAUCCAUUUCAGACAGCAUUAUAAUGUUGUUACACAAGGGUGUGGCUCGAGACUGAGCUCUAGCAGAAAUCCUUAACAGAAUUAGGAUGGACUGAUAAUCUACAAGGCUUUUACACACACAUAGUUCUUUUAAAUCUGUUUCUUUGGUGUGGUCUGGUCAUCCAUCUGCCCAAACACCUCGUAGCUAAGAUAGCUGUGAAUGAAAGAUGGAGUGACACACCAAAAACAAAUUCAGUCGGCUGCAGAUUCAGUGAUUCAUUAUGAAAGAUGUGAAGACAGGAAAAGGAAACCACCAUUGCUGCAGGCCUGCAUUUUUUUUUGUUAAUAUAAAAGGCCCUGAGCUUAAACAGCCAGAAUGUCACAAGGGAAUGACUGAAGCACAUUUCAAUUCAAGCUGAGAGCAAGCUGGCAUCAACAAAGGACCACACCCGAGAUCAGCGCACUUAAACUACAACUGAUAGACUAUAAGCUGCUCCUGGCACAAGACAUUACCUCUGGACUGAGUGAAAGUAGUCCUAUAUAUAUAUAUAUAUUUACACACACAUCAUGUGCAAAACCCAGUCUACCUUUCCUUCGUUCUCACACAGUCUGACAUGAACCAUAAAGACACAGUCAGUACAGAGCAGUACAUAAUGUAUGAUGAUAUUAGGUUAAGUGGGUGGAAGGCGAGGAUGUGCUACAUCAGCUGCCAAAGCUUGCUUGUGAAGCUCAAUAACCAGGAAAUGAGCUCAUCAUAUCGGACUGUUCUGAAAAAAAAAGUCCAGAAUUGUAAUUUCCCCUCUGUGCUUCAACAUGCAUGGGUGUUCACAACAGCUGUGUUUGACUAUGUGUUAGAUAGAUAUUUGCAAAAAAGCAGGAAUCAUAGAUUAAUUUAAAUCAUUCACGUGCUCUUUCUAUCUGCCAACAAAGUAGAAAAAUAAACUUUUGGUACAGUGUUGCAUGAUUCUAAACACAUAAACAACUUUCUCCCCCUUCUGACAAUCCAGAGGAACUGCAUCCAAAGAUCAAAUGACACACACAUGAAAUAAAACUGUUUUAAUAUCAAAGAGGAUCUGGAAAACAUUAAUCAUCAGAAUGGAAAUAUAUGACACCAAGUAAUUGACUUCAGUUGACUUAUGUCUCUAAUGCAUUUUUUUUAGUACAGUUCAAGUGCAGAUCAUUUGUAUAAAACAUGAUGCCAUCUCGGCAAUACUGGACAAUAUAUACAUGCAUAUUAUAUAAUUUAAAAUCCACUGAUAAAUUUGGCACAUGUUUUCUAUCUAGAUCCAAAGUCCACCAGCUUAUUUAGUUUAAAUGUGACACCUGUGGCUAUUUAGACCGAGUACAAGAUGACUGGAAAAAUACUGUCAUCGUAUUAACCUGUUACUACUUGGACCAGAGAUCAUCUCUCCUUCAAGAAAGAAACUUCUUUAUGAAAAACAUCUUCUGAUGUUAAGACUGAGACUCCUUCAGCUAUUGUGCGUUUGCGGCAGUACAAAGAACAUAAAAAUUCAAGAUCCAUCCACUGGGCUACAGUUUUAGACAUCAUUAUGAAGACAACAGACAGACGAAAGAGCACUAUGAUUCAGUAUGACAUGACAAUAUUACAGAGCUACAAAUAGGUUUGUGCUGUGAUGAAGCUGUAUUCUUGUUAUCGACCCUAAACCCUGCUUCACUGUAAUGCAUUUCAAGUCAUUAUUUUCUUACAACAAGACAGUUCGUAGUCUGCCAUCAGUGUUGUAUAAAUAAAGAAAGGGGCCAACAGCUUUUAAACAAUGAAUGAACUCUGAUGUACUCUUUGUAGCUUAACAUACGUGCAUAUGUGUUUUUAAAACAUACUUCCGUGUAGGGGCUAACCACAGGAAAUGUUGGGCGCUUCACUCACAAUUUACUACAGCAACCAAGAGUAGCAACAAAAACAAAACUAUAGUGUCAACAUUUGAAGGCAACGUGAUGCUUGUGCAGUAGUAGUACUGCAGCUCAGGACACAGUUUGACACUUUAUACUGGAGGUGCAGCUUGUGGAAGAGAAAACAAAUCAAUUUGUGGUCCUGUUUUUCGAUACCUUUCUAGAAUCUCCCUGAUUGUCUAAAAAAAGACUAUAAGUUGGAUUUUGUAUGAAUGGAUUAUGUAUGAAUUUACAUGUCCCAUUGGGACCUCAUAUGAUAGAGUUUAGAGUAGUUGGGAGUAAGAAAAAGGAUUUAGCUGUUGCAUAUGUUUUGUGAGAUGUAUAAAUGCCUCAAUAUAAAAGCCCUGUCGGGAAGAGGUAAGCUACUUUGAAAUACUAUAAAAGGAAAAACACAAACAUAAAAACAGUCAGCACCAUGUGUGCACUCAGUCCUCAUCAUGGCACCUGUACCCACUUAGUAUCUUCUCCUGGUUCAGCAUUGUGCAUCAUUAAAUACAUAG